rnacentral:tRNA from 1 species
GCGCCCUUGGCUCAAUUGGAUAGAGUGCUUGACUACGGAUCAGGAGGUUAGGGGUUCGACUCCCUUAGGGCGUGCCA